CGCGUAGGCGGCUUUGCCAGUCAGGCGUGAAAGCCCCGGGCUUAACCUGGGAAUUGCGCUUGAUACUGCGGAGCUAGAGUUCGGGAGAGGAGAGUGGAAUUCCCAGUGUAGAGGUGAAAUUCGUAGAUAUUGGGAAGAACACCAGUGGCGAAGGCGGCUCUCUGGACCGAUACUGACGCUGAGGCGCGAAAGCGUGGGGAGCAAACA
rnacentral:rRNA from 1 species